UGCCCAGCAACUCCUAUCCCUACCUCCUCGAGUUACUGGCUGGGGUACGGUGUCCUUAGGGAAGAUCGGGUAACCACCCUGGUGGGAACUUUGGUCGUAUGUUGACAGGAAAGG
rnacentral:ribozyme from 1 species